GGGAGGGCCAUGAGACCUGAGGUGACAGAACGGAGUGCUUGGGUUGGGGUGUAGGGUUCAAACAUAGCCUGAAGGUAACGAGGGGCAGUUCCUCUUGCUGUUCCGUAGGUAAGCAUCAUGGUCUUGUAGUGGAUGCGAGCUUUGACUGGAAGCCAGUGGAGUGUGCGGAGGAGCAGGUGACAUGUGGAUCAGGGAAUCACUCGCAGCAAGAGCGACAUAUUUGAUGUAUACAGAGAAAAGAGUCAGCCCGAGAAUUGAACCCUGUGGCACCCCCAAAGAGACUGCCAGAGAUCCAGACAACAGGCCCUCUGAUUUGACACACGGAACUCUAUCAGAGAAGUAGUUGGUGAACCAGGCGAGGCAGGCAUUUGAGAAACCAAGGCUGUUGAGUCUACUGAUAAGAAUAUGGUGAAUGACAGAGUUGAAAGCCUUGGCCAGGUUGAUGAAAAUGGCUGCAUAGUACUGUCUUUUAUCGAUGGCAGUUUUGAUAUCAUUUAGUACCUUGAGCGUGGCUGAGGUGCACCUGUGACCAGCUCAGAAACCGGAUUGCACAGUGGAGAAGGUAUGGUGGGAUUUGAAAUGGUCAGUUCUGUUUAUUAAUGGCUUUUGAAGACCUUAGAAAGGCAGGGCAGGGCAGGGCAGGAUGGAUAUAGGUAUGUAACAGUUUGGGUCUAGAUGGUCACCCCCUUUGAAGAGGGGUUGACCGCGGCAGCUUUCCAAUCUUUAGGGAUCUCGGACGAUAUGAAAGAGAGUUUGAACAGACUGGUAAUAGGGGUUGCAACAAUGGUGGCGGAUAAAUUUAGAAAGAGAGGGUCCAGAUUGUCUAGCCCAGCUGAUUUGUAGGGGUCCAGGUUUUGCAGCUCUUUCAAAACAUCUGGAUUUGGGUGAAGGAGAAGCUGGGGAGGCUUGGGAAAGUAGAUGCGGCUGUUGGCCAAGGUUGGGUUUGCCAGUAGGAAAGCAUGGUCAGCCGUAGAGAAAUACUUAUUGAAAUUCUCGAUUUCGUGGGUUUAUCGGUGGUGACAGUGUUUCCUAGCCUCAGUGCAGUGGGCAGUUGGAAGGAGGUGCUCUUAUUCUCCAUGGGUUUUACGGUGUCCCAAAACUUUAGGGAGUUAAUGUGGAGGAGGAGGUGUAAUGUGUGGAGGAGGAGGUGUGAUGGUGCUUUGCUGGUGACACUGUAUGUGAUUUAUUUAGAAUUCAAGGCACAGUUAAAACCUCUUAGAGCUCCCCCACUACUUUGUGCAAUUUCCACCCUGAAGACAUACCCAAAUCUGACAGUCUGUAGCUCAGGCACAAAACCAAGGAUAAGCAUAUUCUUGGUACCAUUUGAAAGAAAACACUCUGAAGUUUUUGGAAAUGUGAAUUGAAUGUAGGAGAAUAUACCACAAUAGAUCUGGUUUAGAUAAAACAAUGAAAAAAAAACAUACGUCAUCUUUAAAAUGAACAAGAUAAAACAAAUAUUCAGAUAGGAUGAUGGGGACAAUUUCAGUGAAAAAUAUAAUAGGACAACAGUACCUGUGCAAAGUUCCAGAACGAUAACUUCCAAAAUGAGUGUGCUACAUGACAUUUAUCAUGAAGUCACCCAGGUGUCCCACACAAGUAGCCCAAAUGUACCCAAGUAACCAAAUUGGUGAAGGUAUGCAUUUUGAAACAAAUAACUAUAUACGAAAUACCAAAAUGGUAUUCUAACACACCCCCAAAAAAAAAAAUGAGAAAAAAAAAUGGAAAAAAAUAAUUAUUGAUAAAAAAAAUAUAUAUAUAUAUAUAUAUAUAUUUACAAAAUCACAUGGGUAACUAUUUACACACUUUCAAUAUUUGGAAGACCCUCAGUACUCUAGCAAAUCAAAUCAAUUUAUAUAGUCCCAGCCUAAAACCCCAAACAGCAAGCAAUGCAGGUGUAGAAGCACAGUGGCUAGGAAAAACUCCCUAGAAAGGCAAAAACCUAGAGAGGAACCAGGCUAUGAGGGGUGGCCAGUUCUCUUCUGGCUGUGCUGGGUGGAGAUCACAGUGGUUGUAGAGGGUGCAACAGGACAGCACCUCAAGAGUAAAAAUGAACAGUUUAGGGUUCCAUAGCCUCAGGCAGAACAGUUGAAACUGGAACAGCGGCAAGGCCAGGUGGACUGGGGACAGCAAGGAGUCAUCAUGCCAGGUAGUCCUGAUGCAUGGUCCUAGGGCUAAGGUCCUCCUCCGAGAGAAAGAGAGAAUUAGAGAGAGCAUACUUAAAUUCACACAGGACACCGGAUAAGACAGAAGAAGUACUUCAGAUAUAACAAACUGACCCUAGCCCCCCGACACAUAAACUAAUGCAACAUAAAUACUGGAGGCUGAGACAGGAGGGGUCAGGAGACACUGUGGUCCCAUCCGAUGAGACCCCUGGACAGGGCCAAACAGAAAGGAUAUAACCCCACCCACUUCUGCUGUAAUGCAGAGGGUCACCAAGCAUGUGGCACAGGUGAUGGGGGACUUGAUUUUGCAAAGAACACAGCGACGCCUCCAUGCUGUGCCCUUUUGGCCCUGAGGCGCAUUUAUGCCUGCAGAAAUAAAUUUGGGCAGAUGAACACCACUUGUGGCAGGAGCUGGAUGAACCAGCUUCAGUGGGGGGUGGAAACCUUGGCCCUGAGGGCUGCCAUUCAGAGUCAGUGUCUCUGUGAAAGAAAAUGUUCAGUUAGAAUAGUUUCACAUAUGAGCCCUGUAUCAACAGGUAUAAUAAACCGAUAUAUAUAGAGAGAGUACAGGGAACAUAAGGUUGAAUACAUUAUUAUGACCUGCGAGAUCUACUGUCUCUUUUAUAUUAUGACAGACCAGCUAGAUCUACUGUCUUUAUUAUAUUACAACAG
ensembl:lncRNA